rnacentral:rRNA from 1 species
GACGUAGGGCGCGAGCGUUGUCCGGAUUUAUUGGGCGUAAAGAGCUCGUAGGCGGCUCAUUGCGUCAACCGUGAAAACCAGCAGCUCAACUGUUGGCUUGCGGUUGAUACGGGUGGGCUGGAGUUCGGUAGGGGAGACUGGAAUUCCAGGUGUAGCGGUGAAAUGCGUAGAUAUCUGGAGGAACACCGGUGGCGAAGGCGGCAUCCUGGACCGACACUGACGCUGAGGAGCGAAAGCGUGGGGAGCAAACAGG